GGGUCCAUAGCUCAAUGGUAGAGCGUUUGACUGUCAAUCAAGAAGUCAUCCAUUUGAAUUCGGUUGGGCCAU